GGGUUGGGGGGGCGUACCGGACAGUCGGCAACUGUGCAUGGCCCUCCGGGGCCGGCCUUUUGCCCAGCAAUGGACCUGACGAUACUGAAAGCGUGUUUGGGGCUGGUAUCCUGGGACCUUCACAUGGUGGCCCUGUUUAAACCAAUCUUACCAGGAUGUGCUUCCAGAAGGGUUACAUCUAAAAACAAGGUACAAGCUACCACGGAUGAGAAGCUUACUGGAGAGAAGAGGGAAAGUAGCGAUGAACCAACAACUUCAGGGGAAUCCGAUCGUCCAAUCCAAGUUUAACCCUCCCCCUCCCCACUGGAGAUGAGAGGCUGUAGAGGAAUUUGUUGUGAUGACAAUGAAUCAUUCUAAUCAAAGUCAGUAUGGGCUCUGAGAAACACGCAGGAGACAAGAUCUGCCGCAGUCAUUGUUAGCAAGAACUACCAGUUUAAUAAGGUGGACCACACAGACAGCACGAUAGCCUUGCAAAGGAUAGCGUUUCUCACGAGUGGAUUUACAACUGACUGACCAAUCAACCUUCAUCAGAACUUUCUGAAGUAGUGGUGCUGGGAAAGUGGUGCUGGGAAAGCUAGGUUUUCAGGGAGGUUGCUGACAGCCAGGUGAUGACCAGCAUCUUUCACUAGUAGUCUCCUGGUCUUCCACUGCAUCUCGAAUUUCUUGCCACCACAGACGGAUGUUUCAGUGAAGUAGUUUUGCUCCAACCUCUCUGCCAUCUGCCAUGCGAUGGGCGCUAGAGCACAUCCCGUUGAGGAAGUCGGUAGCUAGGGGUGGAGGAGCAAAGUUCAAGUUAACAAAGCUGAUGUUUAAUGGUAGCUACUAGAUAUCCUGGAUGCUGACUCUGCCUAGGACCUUAGUAACCUGAGCAAGUCAUCAGACGUCUGUUAUCAGAACCACAAGAAGAGGAACACAUGUGUUUCAGGUUUUCCUGCUCUUACCAAGAAGACGUUGCUCUUGAUGUUGGAAUGCCCUGAAACUGCACCACUUUGUGAUGACAUCAAACAUCAGAGAAACUACAUCCAAGGUGCCUUGGGUCUAUUUAGAAUGUACUGGGCUAUUAAAUGUAAAUGGUUUAAGGUAUAUGGG
rnacentral:lncRNA from 1 species